GGGGACGAUCUUGGUUUCGACUGCAAUGGCGUGUCUACAGUUGCAUGCCGAGUUUCUGCUGGCUCGUAAAAACUGGCAGGUUAAAAUAAGUGCAAACAACGAUUUAGCACUCGCAGCUUAAUCCCUGCGGGCGUCUUUAUCGAUCCCGCUCCUCUGGGGAUGAUAAAGGCGUGAGAUACAGAGGAUAGUUAUUGAGUUUUGAUCCUGGCUCAAUAGCGAAAUUUUAAGGAUUUGCUCACUGAGGCGGGUUCCUGUUCCCCUAACCAGUGAUAAGAUAAACGAACAGGAUAAGCAUGUAGAGGCUGUAGGUGUGUGUUGCAGGACGCGGGUUCGACUCCCGCCGUCUCCAAAA
rnacentral:tmRNA from 2 species